rnacentral:misc_RNA from 1 species
GCAUAUCAUUUUAUAUGUAAUUAGAGGUAAAAAAGACAUUAAGGGAUUAAAUAUUUUACAAUAUUGGAAAUUAACAAAUUUUAAGGUUGAUUCAGAAAUAAUAAAUAAUUAAAUAGCAUAACUGUUAAAAUAGGCAGCUGAAUAAAAGAAGCCAGAUUUCUCAGGAGACCUGCUCAGAAGGUCAGAAAUAAAUGAAAUUCUUUCACCCUUCUCCUAACCUAGAAGGGCGGGCAUCUUAGUUUAUGCGUUGUGAAGCCAUUGAAUUCAGAUUGAAAGAGCUCCGAGGAUGGAACUUCCGACUCCGAUUCCAGUGGCAGCCCGCCGCAAGUGUAUGGUGAUGGAGAUACCAAAUAGUCUUUGCAUGGUUUUAUCUUGGCUGCAAUAGCCCUCCCCGGGUGGUCUUAUUUCUUUGAAUUUAGAUCUGUUUUGGCUGGCUGGAGUCAGCUGCUGCUGUAAUAUUCCCUGACUGAAUGCAAUGUUUCUUUUUUAUAUUUGGUUUUCCUUCCUAACCUCAACGUUUCAAGCAUUUAUUUUAAUUAUAAAAACACAAAAAAAUGAUAAAACAAAAACAGUGCUUUUCUAAAAAGCUUCAAUGCCUUGAGAAAAACAUUUCUUUAAAUAUGUUGGUUAGGAUAUUAAAAAUUAAUUUAAAAAUAAAUUACAUUUAAUUACAAAAACUUCAAAAUAAUUAAAAUGAUGCUUUUUCAAAAAGUACUUUUUUAACUUUCCAACCCCAAUCCCAAACAAGGCCAAAUAGUAUAUAGUUCAACUUUGACAUUGGUUAUUGCUUCUUAAAGAUUCUAAUCCAUCAUUCAAUAAAAGUAACUAGCAGAAUAGAGAUGGGUUUCAUACAAACAAAAGAAAUUAGCACAAGAAGUAAUAUUCCAGUACAAGAAGCUCAUUAGAAUCCUUGUUUGUUUCUUAUCCUUCGACCACUACUGACUCAAGAAAUUCAUAAAGACAAAGCACAAAAUCGUAUGCCAGAUAGUCAACAUUUCAGUGGAUAAAAUUCAUUUAGAUGCUGAAAAAACAGGGUUAACUGCCUGAGUUUGAUAUCUUGAGUCCACAUUUUUCAUAACUGUAAUGCUCAAAAUAUCAAGCCAGUGCCUGAAACUUCAUAUCUCCUAUAUUCACACGCUUAGCUUGUUUUCCCUGAAACUUUUACUAGCUACAAGAAUCAUUGCUUUGAAGCAGUAAAAAAAGCAGUAGCAGCUCAAUUGUCAAUGAAAUAAAUCUCUUGCAAUUUCAUUCCUUUACAUGGUGACACGAAGUAGCAGUCAUGCACAAAAACAAAUAGAUCAUUCUUCAGAUAGUCACGCAUCAUAUGUCAUCCUAUUUUGAUCGCAGAAAUAUUUGGAUGAUUUGAAAUAUAUUUUGCGCAUUUCAGCUUAUAAUUGCUGCAUACUAAGUAGUGGCACUGUUCACCACUACCUCAGUUAUGCUUGUAAACUACCAGCACACAUGAUGGGGAUUGAAAUUGAAUUACUUCAUGAUGAGAAAAAAAAAAUAUAUAUAUAUAUUCCA